CACCAGUGAGCAGGUCCCACCUCUGAUGCAGGUCAAGAAAGUGUCUUCAUUGUUUGUCCUGACCUAGAAGCUUCUCUCUCUCUAAUUUCAGAGUCCUUAGCCCUGUUCCCAAGACUUCAAUGACCAAACUGCCAAAGGGCCAAGGAGUAUCUUGUAGCUUUGCCCGGGGGUAGGAGGAGUGCCCCCACAUGGUGUCACAACAGUGCCUGAGUGACUUGGGCAGAAUCCAGGGACCAAGGAGUCUGUUUCCACAGCACAGCUUCUCCUUUUCUAGAAGAACAGCAGGAACCUUUCCAGUCAUAGCCAGGAGGCAAUCAGAGCUAACAGUGUCCUGGGGCAACCAGGAGGCAGUGCCAGAUGCCUGGAACCCAGAGGAGUGUCAGCUUCUACUGAAAAGGAACUGUACCAUCUUCACUAUUGACUUUUAUGAGACUGGCAGACAGGAGCAGCAAUGGCCUUGCAGAUGGAGAUCCAAGCCCCAGUGGGAUGCGGAAGCUGAGCUGCCAUGGAUGCUCUGACCACAGGUUCAUCAUCUCUGGACCAGAAGCUUACACGAGUCCAGACCUUCCACUGAACACAGAGGGGAGCACCAGGCAGGGGACAUGCUGAAUGGAUGAAUUUACUCUGCCACACUGAGACUGGUGAAGAAGGGAAGGACUGGAAACUCAAGUGAAGGUGUUGUCAGAGGAUAAUAAGGCCCAUCAGGGCUUCUAAAUUCUAAUUUGCAAGGACUUAAAAAACAGGACUCCUGUGCAAAUACACAGUGAGUGUGAAAGCAUUUGCUCGGCUCCUGCAUUGACGAGUCAGCCACUCAGAGGCUGUAAAUGGACUAGUGCUGUGAGUGACUUGAAGAAGGAUAUUUAUAUGGGAGCCUGAAGCUCUUGUUUUGCUUUUCGAUGAAAAGCUUGUCAACUUUCAACUGAUGAGGAGGAGCACAAAUUGGGAAGUCUUUGAAGGAAGGAGAAACACAGGUUGAGUUCCUGGCUGCCCGUUGAGUGGAUCAGGACAGUUAGCAGCUUUUGAACUGAGUGAUGGCCUUGAGACUCUCUUCUCACUUACUUGUAACCUCUUCUGUGCCAAGUGAAGUGUGGUGAUGGGCAGAAUGCUCUCACACUGUAUAACUCGGGUUUACUGAUGCUACCACCGCCUUUGCCGGAUGUUAAAGGUAUAUUAAUUGAUUAUUAACGAUGAAUUCCCCCGUUUGUUUUAGUUCGAUUACUAUCACCUGAGAUAAGAACGGUCUCUAAGGAUCAAGGGUUUACUUGAAGUAGUUACUCACUGGAGGGUAGGCUCCCAGCACAAAGCACAACUGUACCCCACAGGGCUCCCAUGGAACCACUGGCUAAGUUUCCUAACCUCUCCGCAGCUUUAAGUACAGACCCAGCAGUCUUUAUUUUGCUUUGCCUAGCUCUUCCUUCCUUCCUUCCUUUACCUUGGCCCUUGAGUUAGGGUUUGGCCUGGUGGAUCAGACACAGAUCACACCUGAAGUACAAGACGAAUGUUCUAUUGCCUUUUGGUGAUUAAACCAGUCAUGUUAUUGUUGGCAGCCUAGCCCAGAGGUAAGGCAGAGAAAAGCAAGAGGAACAGGAAAUCAUUCUGUAAAAUAUUUACAGGAAAACGUUGGCUUGCUUGAAGUGAUUCACUGGCCUGCUUUCCCUCUGUCUUUUUGCCUUCUCUAAUAACUUCCCUCUCGCUGGCUCCCUGUUACACAAGUUUUAGUCUUAAAAGGAGUACUGGGAAGUAAAAUUUUCUUAAUCUGAAGAUAUGAUGCCAUGUUUUGAGUCACACACACACAAAAAACCCCACCAUUUUAAUUAUUAGAAAUAUUCGGUUUUGCUACAAUCAGUCACACGUGUCCCCAACAGCUCCACUCUGUUCCAGCACUAUGCCUUCCAGCUCCAUCUCAUCUGAGGAGCCUGGAUUCUAUGGUCCUGUCCCACAGCUGCUUUGAAAUCUAGAUGAGCAGGUAGUUCUUUAUCCCUAGGGCGGGCUCAAAAUAGUUGAUCCAGGCACUUCAGAAUGUGUGUCCUUCUUAAAUCCCAAGUAAGUGGAAAAAAAAAAAAAAGCCCGCUCCAGAGUACACAGAGCAAAGGACUCCAGGCUGAGCUACUACAGCUGUGCUAGCCCCCUUUGUCAGCUUCACCAUGGAGACCACUAGCCUUCUUUGAAGACCCUUAGAGCAGCAGUGCCUAGGGAAUGUAUAGAGUGACAUUGUUCCUUUCAGAACACCCUCACUCAUGGUAGAAAUGGGCAGGUUAACCAGGAUGAUUAUUCACAAGUAUGUUUUUAGUUUUAGUGAUUGCAAUAUUUAAAACCAAGGAGAGGACUAUUGAAUAGUGAUUUUUUAUAAAUGUGUUCUGGAAAAACUAUAUAAUACUUUCUUGCUUUUGUAGUUCAUGCUGACCUUGAGUAGCCUUGUCUUCUUGGUGCUUACACUUAUGGACAUAUACCACUGUGUCUGCAUGCUGCCUCCUCUCUUCGUAUGGUACUAGAACCUGAGCUUCACACGUCAAGCACAUGUUGUUCUAUUGAGUUAUCAUACCCCCCCAUCACCCAGUGCUUCAUUUAUAAAACCAUAUGACCCUUAUUACAUUUUAAAACUUUAAAUUAUGUGGAUCGGUGUGUAUGUGUACCUGAGUGCAGUUACCAGAGGAGACCAGAAGGUGGCGAUAUAGGAGACCUAGAGCUGGGGUUACAAGCUGUUGUGAGGCACCUACAUGCUACUGAGAACUAAAUUUGUGUCCUCUGCAAGAGCAGUAGGAAAUUGUAACUGCUGAGCUGUCUCUUUGGCUUAAGGCUACCCAGGAUAUAUCUUACUGUUGGGUUUUGUGCUUAUUCAUUUGUUCAUGUUAAACAUAGGAAAUGGUUCAGGCAAAAUAGGGGUUAGGAAAGAAUAUGAAAAUUUAAGGAACAGUUGAAGCAUUGUGUCCUAAGCAAUAUGAAGGUAGAUGGGCAGUAGCCACUUCCUCUGGUUUGAACCAGCCCUUCCUGCAAGGAGUAGGGACGUUGGUAAGAUUCAGAAAUCCAAAGAACAGGACGCUCAGCAAAGCUCAGAAAGUUGAAAGACUCACAAGGCCCCAGGGUAGCAUUACACAAUUGCUCCAGUCUUCCGUGGAGCAGCUUGCAAGCUGUGUAUCGAGCUCCAGCAACCAGCCUUUUGUUUUUGUUUUUUCCAGACAACAGGGCUUCUCUGUGUAGUUCUGGCUAUCCCUAAACUCAUUCUGUAGACCAGGCUGGCCUCAAACUUUUGCCUCUGCCUCCCAAGUGCUGGGACUAAAGGCUUGCACCACCACCUAGCUACAAUGUAGCUCUUUCAUGAACUUUCACCCCUGGCGGGAUAGACUUUUCCAUUGAUGUAGCCACCUUUGUGUUAAUGGUACUCUUGGAAGGAGCCCCUUACUCACAUUCCUAUACAUAAUUCCCCAAAACUAUUAGUUCGCCAAGUUAGAAGUUGUGUAGGUCACUUGCUGUAUUACUGACUCAUUAAAUGGAAAUGGCGCACAAAAAAAAAUGCAUCUGUGGUUUAGUGUCAAUGGAUGCACUGAAUAGCCAUUUGCUCUCUCCCCAGGGGGGGGAAAAAUCACACAACAAUGGACAUCCAUUUCAAUUCAAUAUGGCAC
ensembl:lncRNA